rnacentral:tRNA from 1 species
GUUAAACAGUUCUUUUAGUCUAAGGUUUGGCUUAAGGCCUCUAAAGACAUUGUUUUAAAAAAGACAAAGAUACGGGUUCAAAUCCCGUAAAGAACU